CCUACGGGGGGCAGCAGUGGGGAAUAUUGCACAAUGGGCGCAAGCCUGAUGCAGCCAUGCCGCGUGUGUGAAGAAGGCCUUCGGGUUGUAAAGCACUUUCAGCGGGGAGGAAGGCGGUGAGGUUAAUAACCUCAUCGAUUGACGUUACCCGCAGAAGAAGCACCGGCUAACUCCGUGCCAGCAGCCGCGGUAAUACGGAGGGUGCAAGCGUUAAUCGGAAUUACUGGGCGUAAAGCGCACGCAGGCGGUCUGUCAAGUCGGAUGUGAAAUCCCCGGGCUCAACCUGGGAACUGCAUUCGAAACUGGCAGGCUAGAGUCUUGUAGAGGGGGGUAGAAUUCCAGGUGUAGCGGUGAAAUGCGUAGAGAUCUGGAGGAAUACCGGUGGCGAGGGCGGCCCCCUGGACAAAGACUGACGCUCAGGUGCGAAAGCGUGGGGAGCAAACAGGAUUAGAUACCCGAGUAGUC
rnacentral:rRNA from 1 species